rnacentral:rRNA from 1 species
AGUGAACGCUGGCGGUAGGCCUAACACAUGCAAGUCGAACGGCAGCACAGUAAGAGCUUGCUCUUACGGGUGGCGAGUGGCGGACGGGUGAGGAUUACAUCGGAAUCUACUUUUUCGUGGGGGAUAACGUAGGGAAACUUACGCUAAUACCGCAUACGACCUACGGGUGAAAGCAGGGGAUCUUCGGACCUUGCGCGAUUGAAUGAGCCGAUGUCGGAUUAGCUAGUUGGCGGGGUAAAGGCCCACCAAGGCGACGAUCCGUGGCUGGUCUGAGAGGAUGAUCAGCCACACUGGAACUGAGACACGGUCCAGACUCCUACGGGAGGCAGCAGUGGGGAAUAUUGGACAAUGGGCGCAAGCCUGAUCCAGCCAUACCGCGUGGGUGAAGAAGGCCUUCGGGUUGUAAAGCCCUUUUGUUGGGAAAGAAAAGCAGCAGGUUAAUACCCCGCUGUUCUGACGGUACCCAAAGAAUAAGCACCGGCUAACUUCGUG